GUCUAUUUGAGGUUAUACAUAGUCUAGCCUGCUCACUGACAAAAGAUGUUAAAUAGCCGCGGUAUUUUGACCGUGCAAAGGUAGCAUAAUCAUUAGUUUUUUAAUUGAAAACUUGUAUGAAUGGUUGGACAAAGAAAAAGCUGUCUCUUUUAUUUGAAUUGAAAUUAACUUCUAAGUGAAAAGGCUUAGAUUUUUUAGAGGGACGAUAAGACCCUAUAAAGCUUUAUAAGUUAAGUAAGUUAAAUUAAUUUUUUAAAAUAAAAAUAAGCUUAAAAAAUUUAUUUGGUUGGGGCGACAAUGGUAUAAAUUAAAUAACUGCUAUUAAAAUUAAGCAAUUAUAUUUGAUUAGAAUUAUAAUUGAUCCUUAUUAUGGAUUAAAAGAUCAAGUUACUUUAGGGAUAACAGCGUAAUUUCUUUUGAGAGUUCUUAUCAAAGAAGAAGUUUGCGACCUCGAUGUUGAAUUAAAAUGUCUUUAUAGUGCAGAAGCUAUAGAAGAAGGUCUGUUCGACCUUUAAUUUUUUA
rnacentral:rRNA from 1 species